UACGUAGGGGGCAAGCGUUGUCCGGAUUUAUUGGGCGUAAAGAGCGUGUAGGCGGCUAGGUAGGUCCGUUGUGAAAACUCGAGGCUCAACCUCGAGACGCCGAUGGAAACCAUCUGACUAGAGUCCGGAAGAGGAGAGUGGAAUUCCUGGUGUAGCGGUGAAAUGCGCAGAUAUCAGGAAGAACACCCGUGGCGAAGGCGGCUCUCUGGGACGGUACUGACGCUGAGACGCGAAAGCGUGGGGAGCGAACAGG
rnacentral:rRNA from 1 species